rnacentral:ncRNA from 1 species
CAAAACACUUUGACGGGAAGAGUAGGCAUGGAACGAACCCACCAGAGAGGAAAUCCUGAGGCUGAAAGAUUUCCGGCCUAACUAUGCUGAAGGCCCUCCCCGAGUCGCAGGACCGAAGAAAGUAAGUCCUGCCGUGGCGUGCGUUAAACGCCGGUGACGUCAAACACCACGAGGGUCCGGAACCGCGAGGAGCCGGUAAAGCAGGGUGGUACCGCGAGCGCGUAAUGCCUCGUCCCUGGC